rnacentral:lncRNA from 1 species
AUACACACACAUUGGAAAACAGAUGCAUUUACAUAACUCAGCUCAGCUAUGUCACCCCUCUGGGGAGACAGAUUUAUAAUAAUAUGUAUGCAAUUUAGAUCUAAUGGUACUUGUCACCCCAUCUGCUUUGGUUCAAAUUCACUUGGGUUCUCAACUUUUUUUAUAAAUUGUGAGCUCUCAGAGGUCAGUAACUAUAUUUUGUUUCUUUUCUUUGUUUAUUCUUUUGAUUCUUCACAAUGCAUAAUGAAGGCUUUAAAGUCAAAGCAGAUGUAAGGUGAAUAUUGAAAUUCUUUAAAAAUAGAUAUUUGCACUUUAGAUAUGCUGAGUCUAAAGAUAAGAAAGCUAUGGACUUCCUAAAGUUGAUUGAAUACAGCUUAUUCUAAUGGGCAUAUGAAGAGUGAGUUCAGUUUGCCUGGGUUCAAAUCUGAUUCUGCCACUUAUUAGCUGUGGAAUUUUGAUUAAGCUGCUUAACUUCUCUGUGCUUUAGUUUUCUCAGGAAUGAAAGGGAAUAAUAAUGGAAUUUACUAAAAAUGAGGAUUACAUAAAGUAAUACACUGUACCCAGAACAGAGUAAGAACUUCACAUAUGUAAGAAUUGUUAUUAUUACUAAAAUCUAUGGGGAGCUCAGGACAAAGGGAAUUUGUGGAUGAAUAUGUGAGUAUUUUUAUUUUGUGAUGUCAUCUUGGGCACAUUACUUUACCUCUCUGAGCUUUGGUUUCUUUAUUUGCAAAAUGAGAAUAAUAAUAAAGCCUAUUCUAUAAAGUAAGUACUAAAUUAGACAAAGCAUGUAAUGCACUUAGAAAAGUACCUGGAACAUAGUAAAUGCUCAAUAAACUCAUUUAGUCAUUCACUAUAGACUUAUUAAGCAUUUUUUACUUAGUAGUACCUGCUGGGCAUUGUUGCAGGUCCCAAAGAUCCUGUAGCCUAGUGAGUGGAUCCAAAGAUAUUAUAAUACAGGUAGUGAUGAGGAUCUUGAGCAAAAGAAAAGCAGAGUAAGAGGAUGGAGAGUGAGGAGCUGGGACUGAGCUAGUUUGUAAAGGAUGGUUGGGCAGAGAUUGCAGGACAGAGGGAGAGUGUGUCUGCUUUGAGAAAGGGUAUUCUAGGCAAAGGCAAUGGCAACACCGCGUCUUGUUUAGUUUGCCUCCCGACCCCAACAGGAAGGAGUCAGAAGGACUAGAGCAGAGGGAGAGGUCAUGGAAUCAGAUCAUUGAGGGCUUAAAGGUCAUUGUUCAAACUUUGGGUUGGAAUCUAAGUAAGGGGGAAGAUCUUGGAAAGUUUAGGAUAGACCCGUGAAAUGAUUGAAUUAUGUUAUCAAGCAUCACUUUGUUGGGAGGGGUGGAUAGAACACAGGCUGACUGUGGUUCUUGUGAUUAUUACUUUUGUGUCUCUCUUCCCUGGGGGAAGCAGGUAUUUCUCCUUCCCUCAGAACUAGCACCUGAUGUUCAGAUCUGAAUAAAUCCCCCAGAGGUGCUGUUACAUGGUAGAAGUAUUUGAAGGCUGUCUUAUUUUCUUACAAAAGUGACUUUUCUUCAGAGCCUAUUAUAAUUUUUUAGACCUUGGUUGAAGUACUCAAGAAUAUGUGUAGGUUUGUCUCAAAGAGCUAACAACUAAUAACAAUAAAUGUGUUCAGUGAAAUCAAUCGUGGCUUUCUGGACUGGCCCAGACAACAUAACUUAGAGGGGACGUGCAUUAUUCAUUGCAAGCCUGGGUCUAAUCUGUAUGUGUCUAAUCUGUAUGUGUAUGCAGAUUAACAAGCAUUUGCACUGUGUAUUGAAGGCCUGGCAUAUGUGAGAGGACAUGUAUAUAUGCAUGUGUGCACAUAUGUGUAGUCCAGGCAUGUGUGGGCAUAUGUAUGGCCAAGUGUGGGCCUGCUACACAGGUAUUGGUAUUAUGUGCAUUGUAUGGCUGGGCUGUUGCAUGUUUCUGAGCAUGUGCAGUGUGCAUAAAUAUGAGUUUGAUGCAAAACAAAGAAGCUCAUCAGCAUCUCUGUCCCUGUUACAUUUGCAAUCCGGUUGGGAAGAUUCAAUGUAGAACAAGCUAUAAAAUAGCACAGACAUAACAGGUUCUCUUUCGUUGGAAGUCUUCUGCAAAGGGUGUCAUUAAUACUGAAUACUCAUGUUUUUGAGGUCUUCAGAUACUUGAAGUUUUAUUUCAAGUAUGAUGCAAUGAAAUAUGGUUCUUGUUUUCUUCACCCAUAAAAUUAAAAGGUGGAAUUGAAUAAAUUUUUAUGUUCCCUUCUGUUCUGAUUUAAACACCCACUUUCUGGAAAUAUAAACAUCACUUAAAAAUUCUUAAGGAAAAAAGCAAUGUUGAGUGCCCUGACCAGCCCUCCUGAGUUUGAGACAUUUUCGUCAGUCUCCAUGGAGCUGCAGACAUGGGGCAUAGUGAUUUCACCUUCUUCUCCAGAGAAAUAACUAAAACACCCUGAAAGUCCAAAUAACCUAGAGAUACAGCCAGCUGUAGCUUCUGCCCAGAUCCACCCCUCACAGGCCCAGUGAGUGUUCAUAACCCAUCAUCUUCAUUCUGAGACCUUCCUGCAUCUUUACUUCACACACUUGCUCAUUCAUUAAUUCAUUUUCCUUUCCUUCUCUUCCUCAUUUCCUUUCCUCUUCCUUCUCCCCUCUUUUCACCAAUCCUCUCUUCCUUAUUUCUCUAAGAAGCAGGUGAGAUCAGAUGCUCAGAGGUGGGCUGGAUUUAGAUGGAUAUGCACCCUACUUUUUCUGCACAGGAUGGUAGGACUCUUGCUAAAUGUUUCAUAGGAUCUGAAACUCCCCUUUCUCAUCUACAGACUAUUCCAUCCUCCCUGUUUUUUUGUCAGAGAUUCACAGAUGCUUCAUUUCACAGAAAACCUGGGCCAAAAGGGGGGCUCAGUGACUCACCUAAAAUCUCCCAGCUGCUUAUAGCAUAAUCAUCAUCCCUGAAUACAGCUUGAAAAAUCUCUACAUCACAGACUAUGUUAAAAGAUAAACACAUUCAAAUUUUAGAGAGUUUGCGUAGUCAACACUUCAUGAAUCAGGUGGCUUCAGACUGCAAAUGGUUCAGCCCUCUGAGAUCAAGGGCAAGGAGGGAGGAGAACUUUUAUAAGGUGUUUGUGGAAAUGAGAAAAGGAAAACGUGUAGUUGGUAAAAAGUGGAAAGGUCCUUGUUAGAGGUUGGUUGGAAGUUUUUAACUGAUUCAGCUUAAGCUUCAUUUUGCUGUUUACAUUGGGUUUUGGUUUGCUGACACAGAGACCCAAGGUAUUGGAGCCAUCUCAACUUAAUGAAAUCCCAGUUAGUUUUUUUAAGAGCUAAAAAGCAUUUUGAAACUCUUACUGUUCAUUUACAGGUUAAUCUUUAGACAAACUCUAAAGCUAAGUUCAAAGUCUUCUUUGUAAUCCUAGGAAAAGAAAUAAAAGCCAAACCCGGCAAUUUCUGAGCAUUGGUCAGAGAACAAAAUACUAGGAGAAGGUUGACUACAGGCCUAACAGAUUUUUAUUUUAAAAUCCUUUUUCUUUUUUUAUUAAUUAAUUUAUUUUAAUUAGGUAUAUAUAUAUAUAUGACAGCAGAAUGCAUUUUGAUUCAUUGUACACAAUUGCAGCACAACUUUUCAUUACUCCAGUUGUACACGAUGUAGCAUCACACCAUAUGUGCAGUCAUACAUGUACUGAGGGUAAUUAUGUCCAUCUCAUUCCACCAUCUUUCCUGCCCCUCGUGCACUCUCCCACCCACCCUGCCCUUUGCCCAAUCAAAGUUUCUCCAUUUUCCCCAUGCCCCCUCCUCUCCAUUAUGGAUCAGCAUCCACUUAUCAGAGAGAAUAUUCAGCCUUUGUUUUUUGGGGAUUGGCUUACUUGGCUUAGCAUGAUAUUCUCCACCUCCAUCCAUUUACCUGCAAAUGCCAUAAUUUUAUUCUCUUUUAAUGCUGAGUAAUAUUCCAUUGUGUAUUGUGCACCACAGUUUCUUUAUCCACUCAUCUAUUGAAGGGCACUUAGGUUGCUUCCACAAUUUAGUUAUUGUGAAUUGAGAUGCUAUGAACAUUGAUGUGACUGCUUUACUAUAGUAUGCUGAUUUUAAGUCCUUUGGGUAUAGACCAAGGAGCGGGAUAGCUGGGUCAAAUGGUGGUUCCAUUCUAAGUUUUCUAAGGAAUCUCCAUACUGCUUUCCAGAUUGGUUGCACCUAUUUGCAGUCCCACCAGUAUGAAUAUGCCUUUCCUCCCACAUUCUUGUCAACAUUUAUUGUUGUCUGUAUUCUUGAUAACUGCCAUUCUGGCAUGAGAUAAAAUCUUAGAGUAGUUUUGAUUUGCAUUUCUCUAAUUGCUAGAGAUGUUGAACAUUUUUUCAUGUAUUUGUUGAUUGAAUAUGUAUCUUCUUUUGAGAAGUGUUUGUUCAGCUCCUUAGCCCAUUUAUUGAUUGGGUUGUUUGUUUUUUUGGUUUAAGUUUUUUGAGUUCUUUAUAUAUCAUGGAGAUUAGUGCUGUAGCUGAUGUGUGUGUGGCAAAACUUGCUCCUAAAAUAUAGGCUCUCUGUUUACCUCAUUGAUUGUUUCUUUUAUUGAGAAGAAGUUGAGUCCAUCCCAUUUUUUAAUUCUUGAUUUUAUUUCUUGCACUUUAGGAGUUUUGUUGAGGAAGUUGGAGCCUAAUCCAAUGUGAUGAAGAUUUGGGCAUACUUUUUCCUCUAUUAGGUGCAGGGUCUCUGAAUUAAUUCCUAAGUCCUUGAUCCACUUUGAGUUGAGUUUUGUGCAUGGUGAGAGAUAGGGGUUUAGUUUCAUUUUGCUACAUAUGGAUUUCCAGUUCUCCCAGCACCAUUUGUUGAAAAGGUUAUCUUUUCUUCAAUGUAUGUUUUUGGCGCCUUUGUCUAGUAUGAGAUAUCUGAAUUUAUGUGGGUUUGUCUCUGUGUCCUAUGUUCUGUACUAUUGGUCUACAUGCCUAUAUUGGUUCUUAACUAAUCCAGACCAGUGAAAUGCUAUCUAGAAUAGAUAUGCAAUUAUACUGGAUUUCUUAACUCUACUUUUAAAAAUAUUGGUUUGAUACUGUCUUUUAAAAAUUAUAUUUGGGGGUUGGGGGAAGUAGCUCAAUGGUGGAGCAUUUACCUAGUGUGUGUAAGAAUCAGGGUUCAAUUAACACUGCAAAAUCCUCCAUACACCAUCUAUAUACUUCCUGGGGGGAGAAAGCACUGUCCCUUUAAAAAACUACUAACAAGCUCUUCAAUGUUAUCCUUUGUUUUCAUUUUAACUAAGACUCUUUGGAGAAACUUAUAUGGAACCAGCCAAGGUCACUGAAUCAUCCUGACUCAUUCUUUUGGAUGACAGAGUAAACUUUGAUGUUUAUAAUAGGAAAUCCUGUGCCCAGAAGCACUGGUCAUCUUUCUUUAGGAACACGUGAUUCAGGACCUCAAGUGAGCAUGCUGAACACAUCUUUCUUUUUGAACAUGUGAUUUAUGACCUUAAACUGAGCAUGCUCAGGAAUGUGCCCACUCCCAGAAGUGCUUUCCUAUAUGAAUAUGUAUAGGUUUCUCAAUAAAAUCCCCUUGUGUUCUUUGUUUGAGGUCAGCACUCCUUUGAAAAUUAACUCUGCACUUUCUCUUUUCUUUUAUAUUCUGGGUUGUGCUCAUUGACUUUGUCCUUACCAAAAGAAGAACUCGAUGCAUUCAAUUACAUAUUGAGUGAAUCACAUACUUCUCUAUUCUUGUACAUUUAUAAACAUUAACAUUAAAUAUAACCACUACAUAGAAAUAUUGAGUCAAAUUAGUAGGUUUUUUUUUUAGAAAAAAUACUGAUUUUUCUUUUGGCAUGAAUGCCCAAAUGAAUAAAUAGGAAGGCUUCCCCUCUUGCUGCCUGUUUGGGUGACUGAACUACACACCAAAAUAAUAUCAUCAUAAAAAGCAGGUGAUGAGCCAGUGUGACAAGACUGUUGAGAGAGGGGCAGACUUUUGCUUAAAAUUCUCCAUGUGUGGCAGGAAGAAGCAGGAUCUCUGAGUCAGUUCAGUCUGGCUUCUACAGUAAAUUAGAAAAAUCAUCCUAAAUAGGAUCUAUAACAAGCAUAGAGACUCAGGCAGGUCAAACAGUAGAGUUGAAACUCAGUACAUCAGCCAUUUAGAAAAGGGAUGGGCUUUGAGCAUUUGUCCUGAGUCUAUAAAAAGGGUAAUUACUUUGGCAAGUAGUUCAUUUUCUGUCCCAUAAAGGCAGCUGUAGAUGAGUUAUGAAUAAAUGAUGUCUCAUAAUUCAUUAAAAACUAGAGGGUGCAAGUUUUAAGGAAGCUUGAGUUUUAAGGAGAACCUUCAAAAUUCUAGACAGGUUAUAGAGGACCAGGAGAGCAUAAGUUCUUCCCAUAACAUGACAUCAAAAUAGCCCAAAGAGGACAUUUUCCUUCAAACAAUGCAGACUCUCCCAGUGCCCAUCUCUGAGAUACUGAGGCAGUGUGAAGACACCCCCCACGCCCUCCCCUCACCCCGCUCCUUCAAACCUCAAUUCUUACGAUCAGGUCAGAAAGAUUUCAGACAUGUGGCUCAGAGUAAAAGGCAAUGACUUUAUUACACGGGAUAGGAAAGGGGAAAGGGGGACAGACACUCUCAAGGGAGAGAGUGGCUCCUCUCAGAGAGAAGAGGAACAGCAUGCCUCUCCUGCACUCCAGUUUUACUAGGACUCCAGAGAAUUUUUCAGAGAGUCCUGCCCAGGUUCACCCCUUGACAUUGACUGACAGAAGGAUGACAUCACACUUUUUUUUUUUAAACUGGGGACUGAACCCAGGGGUACUUAACUACAGAGUCACAUCCCUAGCCCUUUUUAUAGUUUACUUGAGACAGGGUCUCGCUGAGUUAUUUAAGGUCUUGCUAAGUUGUUGAUGCUGGAUUUCAACUCACGAUCUUCCUGCUUCAGCCCCCAAGAGGCUGGGAUUAUAGACUUGCGCCACCAUGCCCAUCUUGACAUAAGACUCUCAAGUUCCCAUUUUCACGAUCACUCUAGGUCACCUUGACCCAUGUUGACUGGUUCUAAUUGGAUUCUUAAUCAUAAAUUCUUACAGAUUUGAUGGUUAGAAUUAUCCUGGUCUCCCUGAGUUUGGGGAUCUGGUCUGUGGAAAGGGUCACAAAAGUCUCCCCCUUCAGAGUAACUUUGGGUUCCUCUUAGUGACAUUGUUUUGGGGCCUGCAUUGCUCCUAUGGAUAACAGGAAGUUUGCUGAGAAAUGUGGCAGAUUCUGUCCACUUAAGUCAGGAAGGGCUGCAGGUAAAUUGCUUCUUGGAAAAGAAAGCAUGUGGAAGUCAGCAUGUGAUAGAAUUAUUCUCUUAACCUCAUGUGCCCAACACUUGCAUCUGUCUGUCCCUUAACACAUCUGUUCCCUAACAUAUUGUUGGGUAUUGUCCUUCAGGCACAGGCAGAACACUGAGCUCUGAAUCUGAAGAAUGAAAUUCAAGUUAUUCUCCAGGCAGAUUACUUAAUAUCCUGAGCCUCAGUUUCUGCACUGCAAUUGGGAUAAUGUUAGUACCUGACUCAGAGUGGUUGUGAAUAUUGCCUGUCUUAUGCAUUCAAUAAUGCAGAAUUUGAGACUGAAGUUGUAGGGAAAUUUUAAACCGACUCUUUGCCCUCUGUGUAAGGGCAUGGCCCAUAGAUGAUGAAGGCGGGAGAUGGGAAGCAAACCUCAGAUAGGCAAGCUUUUUUUUUUUUUUUUAUCCUGCAUUAAAGUCAAUCAAUCAGGCACGGGAGGGCUCAUAUUCUGGGUAUGGAAAAUUACCCCUGGAUUACCGAAGGAGUUUGGGGUUCAUAGUUUACAGUGAUGGUGACUUAAUCAUUGGAAACUGCGAACCUGCAGUUGGGAUGGUCAGGGAACUGGUUGUGCAGGUUAAAAUUUUAACUGAGGAGGGCAGUUGUAAAAAGCUUGAAACUCACUGUUACUGGAAAAAGCUCACAACUCAGUGUUCACUGCUUAUCUUCCUUUCUCUGGGACCCACUGUUAUCUAGAGCUUCAGUAUUUGCUUUUCUCCUUCCAGGACUCAUAUGCAAUGGGAAAGGGUAAAAGCUCAGGGCCCAGCAUUUCAGUAUUUGCCUCUCCCUUCAGGAUCCAUUGUGGUUGGGAAGGGGUAAAUGUUUGCUUUUGGUGGAGCUGCUGGGGAUGAACCCCCGGAAGGGAUGAAAGUUUGCUUUUUCCUCUGGGCCCAUUGUUACUGAGCCACACAGUUCCUCCUUUUUCUUGGGGGACUGUCUUGUAGGAAUAUUAUUUUCCAUAACAACUAAUUGCAUCUAUGAAAUAAACUGACGAUGGACAGAUAACAGGAAGAAGAACAUACAAAUUUUAUUACCUGCACGAGGCAUAGGAUUAGACUCAAAGAAGGACAAGAUGACUGACAUAUAUAGAUUUUAAAGGAUUGAACUUGGGCUUCUAGGAGGAAGAGUGUGGCACAGGCUAUGGAAAGUCUCAGGGAGGAUGUAUACACAAGCCAGGGUUAUCUUGUUAUGCAAAUGCAGUCUCCCAGGUAACAGUCACCUGUGGUCCUGUGGCCAUCUCAGUCUAGGUCAGGUGUGGGAACUCCUAAUGUCUUCUGGUAUAAAGACCCCUCUCAGAAAAGGGGAGGUGGAUAUCAGCUAGAAAUGCCUCUGUCUGCUGCAUCUAUUUACUAUCUAAGAUGUAAAUUUCAUUUACAAAAGGACAGCUUUUCAUAGCCUUUCCUGUUGCUACAGAGUCUGAUGUUUGAAUAAUCAACUGGAUGGGAUUUUAUUUUUUUCCCUCAGUGCUGGGGAUCAAACUCUGCACAUGCUAAACAGGCACUCUGCCACUGAGCUAUAGCCAAGUCCCCUGGGAUGGCAUAUUUUAAUGUCCUACAAAGAAGUACUUUGGGGAAAGUGCUGAGGAUGAAUUAAAGCACCCUACCUAGCCUUUCAGGAAUUCAAAUCUUUCUUCUCCAGAGCUCUCCCUGGUCCAACUGCAUCCAUAUGUAAGGGACUAGAGCUCAAGCAUCGUAUCUUUUACAAGAUUCCCAGAUGAGCUCAGGGCUCAGGAUUGCUGGUGUAGGCAGAAUGGUUAGUAUUCAAUGGAGAGUAACACUAAAUAUAAGCUGAGAAUCCUUUAUCUGAAGUGUUUGGGUCCAGAAGUGUUACAGAUUUUGAAUUUUUUCAGCUUUUGGAAUAUUUGCAUGUAUAUAAUGAGAUAUCUUGGGGAUAGGACCCAAGUCUAAACACAAAUUCAUUAUGCUUCUUGUGUGCCUUUCAUAUAUAGCCUGAAGGUAAUUUUACACAAUGUUUUUCAUAUUUUGUGUGCAAAACAGUUUCAUAUUGUAGAAUUUUUCCAAUUAUAGUAUCAUAUUCAUGCUCAAAAUGUUUCAGAUUUUGGAGCAUUUUGGAUUUUGUUCCUUGGAUUAGGUGGUGCUCAGUCUAGAUGGAAACAAAAUGAGAUAGGGGAGAGACAGAUGCAAGUGGUAGGCACAUAAGGUUAAGAGAAUAAUUCUAUCAAAUGGGCCACUGUGCCGACCUCCCCAUGCUUUCUUUUCCAAGAAAUGAUUUACCUGCAGCCCUGCCUGGCCUAAGUGAACAGGUUAUGUCACAUUCCUCGGCAAACUACCUGUUAUCUGCGGGAAAAAUUCAGAUCCAAACUAAUGUCACUAAGAGGACCCAAAUUACUCUGAAGGGGGAGACUUUUGUGGCCCUUUUCACAGACCAGAUCCCCAAAAUCAGGGAGAUAAGAAUAAUUCCUUUUAACUAUCAAAUCUGUAAGAAUUUAUGAUUAAGAAUCCUAUUACAACCAGUCAGCAAUGGGUCAAGGUGACCUCGAGUGGUCAUGGCAGUGGGGACUUGAAUGUCUGAUGUCAUCCUGCUGUUAGUCAAAAGUCAAGAGAUGGAUGUGGGCAGGACUCUCUGGAAAUUUCUCUGGGAUCCCGAAUACAUCUGGAGUGCAGGAAAGGCACAGUGUCCUGCACUUCUCUGAGAGGACCCACUCUCUCCUUGAAAGUGUUUCCUUUUCCUCUUUCCCAUCCUGUGUAAUAAACUCAUUGCCUGUUACUCCAAACAACAUGUCUGAAAUCUUUCUGACUUAAUCAUAAGAAUCGGGGUUUGAAGAGGUGGGGGGUUCUUCACACUGCCUCAGUUUCUUAGAAGGCCCCUGCACUGUAAUAAUAUUACAGACACAAGGUAGAUUUUUUUGGAUGAGGAAGAGUUUUCCAGGUGAUUGGAAGUGAGGUCAGUGGCAGAACUGUGUUACUGGCAGGCAAGCCAGGGCCUGGAUAUGAAAUGGCUGGAUUUGAAAUGGUCACCUGCCCACAUAAGAUGUACACAAACAAUAUAAAAAGGAAUAAUGAGCUUAACGCAGUUUGGCCAAAACUGGGAAGAAGUAGCUAGUCUGUCCACUCUGGUCUGUAUAGAUGUAGUUACAGUUUAUAAACAGAAACCAGGAGAUAAACAUAUAUACAUUUAGCUAAGCUAUACUAGUCACAGAACAUUUCACAAUUUCUCUUUUCAACCUCUGCUGGGAUUUUGGGGUAGUUUCUCAGCUUCUGUUCAGGUGGAGAAAAUAAAAAUCACCAAGUUGGAGGAAAAAAUAUUUCAGGGCUUUUAAUUUCAAAGGGGCUCUAUUACGCAUGUGCUCAUCAUGGGAAAGGCCCUGGGUUCAAUCCCUGGCACCACAAUAAAUAGAUAGAUAGAUAGAUAGAUAGAUAGAUAGAUAGAUGAUAGGUUUGCCAACAGAGGGAACCCAACAAGGCGGGUGCAUAGAGUCUUAAGAGUGCAGAAUGGUUGAAGCACGAGGAUGCAUUCACCUGGGCUGGAGAGGGGAGUUAGAGGUGCUGGUGAAGGCAUAAUUAUAGGGCACAGUAGUCUUUUUCUCUCAUAAAAGCAAAAGUCCCCAUGGGCUUUAAUAUUUAUAUGCUAAGAUUUGUCUGAUUCUAGAAAAAGGGCACAAACUUGCAAUCAUCCAGAUGACAGGGCAUACAGAAGAGACCCACACAUGUGAGGAUUUAUUGUUCCCAUUUCACCCUGCUCAGAUUCUUUCAUUGUCAGGAGACACAAAAGACUCUAAGGACAGUCUUCUUUUCAAAAGCCAGAGCAUCUGCAGGAAGCUGACCCCAGGCAGGCCUCCUCCUUGACAGCUUCUGUUCCAGAUCUUUCCUUCUUCUUCUUUACUCCUAAGAAAGUAAUGAUCCAUGCCUCUAACUCUGGAGCUUUUUUGGGUGGAGUGGAUUUGGUGACAUGGCCAUGAACCAAAGAAAGUAUCCUGAUAGUAGCAAUUUUGAGUACCUGUAUUCAUAAUUUUUUGAAAUUGCAGCUUUCUGUUUGAUUUUAUUGUUGCUGUCGUUGUGUUUCACCAAAUUCUGCGCCACUACCAAGACUUGAAUAAUAAUUCAACCACUAUUCCUAUGACUGCCUGGUGUUUUAUGUUCCCUGUAAGUUUUAGCAACAGUGGUCCAAUUUGAGGUUGAAGCUUAUCACACAGACUGGGAUGGACCUCUCUGCGCCUCCUAGUGGUGACAUCCUUACCAAACCCCCAACACUAAUCCAAACACUGGGCCAGCUCUCUGAAAUGUCUUUGCUUUUUCUGUCUGGGCAGAAAAACUCAUGCUCUUCAGAGAAGUUCAGAAGUUAGGGCCACACAUUUAAAAAUUGACUGUGUGAGUUCUAUUCUUGCCUGGAUUACUUAUUAGCUAUGUUAACCUUGAGCAAGUUCAUUAACCUCUUUAUACACUAGUUUCUUCAUCUACAAAUAUGAUAAAAAAUAAUUUCUGUCUCACAGCAGUGUGAUUAAGACAGAGUGAGCUACUAGUUGUAAACAACUUAGAGCAAUGCCUGGAACUCAGCCAACAAUGAAUGUUUGGUUCUGUCAUUUUUCAAAUCCUGGCUCUAAUGCCCUUCCUCUGUAAGUUUCAACAAAACUGUGACGAACGGCCAUUCUGUUAUUUCCUACCAUUUGUACUGCAAUUAUUUAUGUACAUGCUUCUCUCUGUGAAUUCCCUGAAGAUAGGACUUGUCUUAUUAUCUGGCAUAGGUCUGAGAUAUGACAAUUCUACUGUUUUGGGGCAUGAAUGUGACUUAGUUUAAUUAAUUUAAUUAAAUAAAGACAAACACAGCAAAGACAUUUUUAGUGGUCAACAGUAAUCUUUUACUGUAUUUUAAAGCCAUGAUAUAAUUCUUUCAUACGUUGAAAAGGACUUAGACAGACAAAGACAUUUCAAUAACUUUAUUUUUUUGCCAUUAAAAUUUUAGCCUUACUUGUGGCAUUUUCUUGCUGCAAAUCUUAUAAAAUAUUUAGUUUCCUAAGCAUCUUGAAGUUUAGUCCUCAUAAAGAAAUUUCUGUCUGGAAAUGUCAGGCAUAAUAUAUUAUUAACUCCUGUUUCUUGUAUGUUGAUAGUGAUAAUACUGCCUUUCUGAUUGAGAAUUGAAAAGCAAAUACAAGGUAGAUAUUGAAAUAGACAAAUUACUUUUAAAGUUGAGGUAUGGGAUGCAUUAUGGAAUCAUUCCCAACUUUAGAGAAUGCUUCACGAGAUCUGAUGCACAGAAUGAUUUCAGCUCUCAGGGCCCUUGCUGUUUCCUCUGCCUGAGGUCCACCUGCCAAUGUCCUAUUAUGAUUUGGUUCUGAAAUGUUCCAUGAAAAGUUCAUGUUUUGAAACUAUGAUUUCCCAAUACAGCAAGGUUCAGAGGUGAAGCUUUGAAGCACUGAUUAGGACUCUGACCUUAUCAGUGGAUUAAUCCACAUUUGUUGGAUUAAUCCAUUAAUAGCUUAAUGGACAACUGAAUGGUAAUUAUAAGCAAAUGGGGCAUGGCUAGACAAAGUAUACCAUUGGGGGUGUACCCUUAGGCACUAUAUCUUGUUUCCUUCUGGCUCUUGGUGCAGUCCCUCUAUCUUUUUUUCUCUCUCAGUUUCCAUGAACUGGGUAGCUUUCUUCCACCAUGCCCUUCCACUAAGAUGUUAUCUGUCACCUCAGGCUCACUGCAGUGGAAUGAGCCAACUAUGGACUGAGACUUCUGAAACCAUGAUCAGAAAAUAAAUGUUUUCUCUUUUUAGUUGUACUUGUCAGUAUUCUGGCCACAGAGACAAAAAACUAACACAUGCCCUCACUUUCUAUAAGCCUUUGCUUAAAUCUCAACACUUCAUCUUUCAACCUACCUCUUCUUCCUCAGGCAUUCCUGAAAACCCUUAUGCUAUGCUUUCUUUUUUUAUUGCACUUAUCACCCUCUUUUUUAUUGCACUUAUCACUCUCUCAUAAUCUAAAUAAUUUAACUACUGAUGUUUAUUUUUGUUCUCACCCUACAAGGAUAUAAGCUUAUGAGGGCAGGAGUUUUUAUUAUAUAUUUAAAGGUAUAGGGCAAGUGUCAAGAGCACUUCUGGGCAUACUGAAGGUCAUUAAUAAAUAUUCUUUGUGUCAAAAGACAAAAUUACAAUGAAUUUAGAUUAAAGAUCUAACUGGCUUUUACUUUUGAUUCUAGAAGCAGACAGCAAACACCUCAUUGAAUAAAAAUAGAAUGGUUUCAAUGAGCUGAACAUAUGAAGUUGGUUUUUGUUUUAGUCAGCUUUCCACUCCUGUGACAAAAUACUUGAAAGAAUUAAUUUAAAAAGGAAAGAUGUAUGUUGGCUCAAAGUUUCAGAGGCUUUAGUUCAUCACACAUCCAGCACAUGAUGUACUUGUACUGCCUGGCCCCAUCAUUUUGGGCUGGUGGCAGUAUAGUACAUCAUGGCAGGAACACAUAUCAGAGAAAGGCUGAUUUUAUAGUACCUGGGGAGCAAAAAGAGAGAAAAAGAGGCUGGAGCCCAAAUGUCCCCUCCAAGGGUAUGCCCCCAAUGACCUGAGUUCCUCCCAGAAGGCCCCACUUCCUAAAGUUCUAUCAUUUCAAAUUAUGCCACUGGUUGGUGAUCAAUUCUUUAGCAUUUGGGCCUUUGUGGAGCAUUUAAGAUCAAACAUUUAAGACUGAAUAGCUUUACAAACAGAACGGGCUAAAGAAAGCAGAAAUAGGGAAUAAAAACAGAUUGGUCAUUUCAAACUUUCCACUUAUAGUUAAAACAGAGGGUUCCUUCUUAGUAUGCUAAUUUAGGAUGACUGUAAUCUCCUUUUUUUUUUUUUUUUUUUGGUUUUAAAGAAAACUAGUCCUUUUCAAAGGGGUUGAUUACAUGGCACUUAAUACAAGUGACUCCAUCCUGGGAAAAUAACAAAUUUCCCCCUUUGUGUCAUAGUUUCACUAGGUGACAGAGCAGACAAUAAAGAUUAAGUUGUUAAAUUAUAUAGACUAUGAGAAGGUAAUAAAGUGAUAUAAAAAAGAAAAAGUAGAAAGGGCAAAGGGGACUAAGUUUGCCUGAGGAGGAUGUGGAGGUUGUAACAUGAAGAAGUGUGAGAUCUGAGCAGACCUGUAGGAAGGAAGGGCAUUAGUCAUCUGAGAGGGGGAGGGGGAUCAUUUAGCAUUUGGCAGAUGGCUACAUGUAGACAAUUAGGACUUUUUGAGAAGACACAGUAUAUCAGGAAGACUACAAUUAUGAUGAUCAGAAGGACAAUACCAGGAAUUUAGGGUAUGCUCCACAGAGUCCCCAUGAACCAAACCAAUUAAAUUCAAAUGAUCAAAGAAUGAGCUAGAUGUGAAAUCUACUCAUUUUACCCAAGCAGUCUGUUUGCUAUUUUUUUCCCCAACUGAUUCUAUUUGUCUGUGUGCAACAAGAAGUGUUAGCAAUGGCACAGACUUUUCCCUGUGGGUAGCAAGUCUAUUAUUUAAUCUCUCACGACUGAAUUGAAUUAAACCAGGAAGUGAGAACAAGUGGAUCUAAAAAUGUGACUGUAUGAAAGAGAUUGCUGGCACAAUUUGAACUAACAGUUACAUUGGAGAUAGUGUUCAAAUCAGCCCUGGGUAGACGGCAGGGUCCCUUAGAUCAUGUUAAGAUAUGGGUUUGACAUCACAGAUCCAAGAAUCUGUCAAAGCCACCUGCAGAAGUUACUGAUGGUGAAAUUUUAAUUAUAGCAUCACCCUGCCAAGCAAAAGAGAUUGAUAUAAACAAGGAAACAAUACAAAGAGUAAAAGUCUCAUUACUUAAGACUUGUUCUGAUGUCCUGGGAAAAGCUGUUCAUAGUAUGAGAUUGUUAUCUUCUCAUGCUGGUUUGCGAUUUUUAGUUUCUUGUUAUGGUAUCAGGCUUUUUAAUUUUUUUAAAAAAAUUUUUUAGUUGUAAAAAUGGACACAAUACCUUUAUUUUUAUUUAUUUAUUUUUUAUGUAGUGCUGAGGAUCAAACCCAGGGCCCUGCACGUGCUAGGUGAGCACUCUACUGCUGAGCCACAACCCCAGCCUGGUAUCAGGCUUUUUGAUGAACUCUCUGAGCAACCCUCAUGUCAGGCACAAGGUUUGUCCCCUAAUAUUUACAUUGAGUAGUCUAGCUGCAGCUUAUAGGGCCUCCGGAACAGGGCAGUUCUUGUUUUUACUUGGAGAGUCAGCCAGAUAUUGGAGAAAACUAGAAGAAUUCAAGAUCCAGUCCAGUCCUCAGGUAGAUAAUAAAAAUUUGAUUACAAUGAAUAGGGUUACCAUCUAAUAACAGAUGUUAUUAGUAUUUUCUCCUACAAUCACAGGAUGAAUUUGCAAAUCACAGGAUGAAUUAGCCUCAUCAAACUUAGCAUGAUUAUUUACAUUAGUUCAGCAAGAACAGUGAUUGACCUGUGACUCCCUUUUAAGUUUGCUUUGCUGAAACUUUUAUAAGGAAUCUUAGAUUGGACUUUUAUACAUUUUUCCUGGUGAGGAAGCCAAAUCAAGGAAUUGCUAUAAUAUUGUGCCUUUGAAAUCUGCAUAUUUGUAUAAAUUCUCUUCUCAAGGUCCCCAAACUAUCAUGACUUCCUGGACCUGCCAGGAACUGACAUUCUUUAUUCACUGCAAGGCUGGGAACCCUAUAGGGAAACCAGAUAUUCAAACCAGGCCAGUUUUUCCAAGAAGGGUUCAAUGGCUUCAUAAAUUCAGCCUUGGUUCCUUAAUACUAUCCUGUAAAAUAUGAUAUUUCAGUAAAGGUCCUGGUAACAUAGACAGUAUAAUGUCCUUAUAAAAAAAGUCUUACUGAAUUUAUACAAAUAACUAUAUUGCAAUAAAAUAAGAACACUCCUGAAUUGUUUCAAAAUUCUAGAGGGAUUAGAUAGGAAGAAAAAAUAUUUCAAAUCUAUUCACAAAGCAUUAUUUAGCAAAUUGCUGUAAGCUAAAGAUUAUAUAGGAGAAAAAAUUUCCUUCAAUCUAGAAAUAAAACAUUUAAGGAAUGAACAAUUUUUCAAAUAAAAAAAUCAUAAAAAUUAAUCCUUGGAUUAAUAGUAUAGUUCAGGAAUAGAGCACUUGCCUAACAUGUGCAAUGUCCUGGAUUUGAUCCUCAGCAACACUAAUAAUAACAACAAUAAUCCUCAAUUAUCUCAUAUUCUCAUUUAAUUAAUUGUUCUGUUUGAUUCUGGUUAGCAUUUUCAUCACUAGAUUUUUUGAAAUUCUUACCAAGUCCAAUGACAUGAUCAUAAGUUAUCAGAAACCUGUACUUAUUAGAGUGCUUUUCAUGCAUUUCCUUGAAAAUGAAAGCCCUUGAGUAUUAUAGUUACUUGGAAAAGCUCUCAUAAAAGCAUCAGAGUAAAGCAACUGUCUUGGAUGACAAGACUUCAAAUGGCCAUGGUUAAAACUCAGUGAGAAUUCAUUGUACUCAGUAGUUAACAAGGAAAUUUGGCUAUUUCUGUGGCAUAUAAAAUUUUACCAUAAUAACAGAAAUUAUUAUUGGUAGCAUAUCAUAUGUCUAGGAAUUUUAUUUAGUUUCUAGAACACAUAUCAGGAGCAUAUCUAUACAAAUACAUCAUAAAAAAGGUUAAGUGUCGUUUGUUAUUUGACAGUGUUCCCCAAAUCAUUUAACAUAUUAAGUCAGCCUUAUUAGUUUACUAUCUCCUUUUUUACAGACCUUUUCAUAUGUUCCAAGAACCCUCUGUAAUGUCCCAAAGUUAGUUUGAGGUCAUAAAGACUUAAUUUAGAAUUUGACUUUAGGAAGUUUGCCAAACACAUCAAAUGAUUUCAGAACAUUUGAUUAAAUAUGAUCAUUGAUCAUUAUGAAACAAUAAAAGGAAAACAAACGUUACGUAAUUGGAAAAAAAUAUUUACAGAAGACUUAGUUUUCUAAAGUAAUCAAAUGAGCUCAUAAAAGACAAAGCACAAGAAAUUAUCUUGAUAAACUGGGCCUAGUGGCACACUCUUGUAAUCCCAGUGACUUAGGAGACUGAUGCAGGAAGACUGUAAGUUCAAAGCCAGACUCAGCAACUUAGUGAGGCCCUAAGCAAUUUAGCAAGACCCUGUCUCAAAAUAAAACAUAUUAAGGGCUGGGGAUGUGGCUCCGAGAUUAAGCGCCCCUGGGUUCAAUUCCUGGUUAAAAAACAACAACAACAACAACAAAAAAAACACAAAACAAAAAUAAAUAAAUAAAAUAAAAGAAAUAAAGAAAGAGAAAAAAUUUAUCUUGAUAAAAUUCAGAAUUUCUUCUUUUUUCCUUUCCUUAGGCAGAUUACUUACAGGACAAAGAAAACCUUUCAUAGUCUCUGGUUAGCACUCCCAAGAAAAACAUUUUUUUUUUUUGUUUGGUUUGGUUUGGUUUAAAAAAAAUGGUCAAAUACUAGUAUUCUAGUUUUGCAUCAAUGUUCUUUUGAUAUCAAUGCUUAUGUUUAAAAAGCUCUUAUAAUAUGUUUAAUAAAUGUGUUGCUUGGUAGCAAUUGUUUAAGUUGUUUUUAAGUUUUGUUUUGUUACCAAACAAAAGAAAUUUAGAGGAGGAAAAAUUUAUUUUGGCUCAUGUUUCCUGAUGUUCUGUCCAUGCUUGGCUGAAUUCAUUGCUCUGGGCCCGAGGUAAGGCAGCAUAGCAUGGCAGAAUGGCUUGGUGGAGGAGAGCUGGUCCAUUCACAGCAGCCAGGAAGCAGAGAGAAGACCAGUGCGGGGCGUGAGGAAGAAGCCACAGGGGAGAGACACCUUUUCAGAUCAUGUCCCCAUUGACCCUCCUCCUACAGCCCUGCCUACCUAUGACUACACAGUCCAUUCAAUGAUUAGGUUAUAGCUCUCACAUCUAAUCAUUUUACCUCUGAAUAUUCCUGCUUUAACGCAGGAGCUUUUGGGGGACACCUCAUAUCCAAACCAUAACAAUAAGUUUUAGCCCAUUUAACUAUACAUGGAAUUCUUAUCACUUUCUUCCAUGCACGAAUUUGUCUUUUCUCUUUUCCAUCAUGCAAUGGUCAUUCUACUUUAGGGCAAAAAUUACCCUUUUCCCCUUAACCAAAAUGCAUCCUCAUGCUUUAUGAAUUCUUUUACAAAACAUUACUUAUUUCCCUCACAUACAGUGUUGUUACCCUUAUUAUUUCUUGUUUUAGUUACCAUUUAUUAAUUAGAAAUUGUAAUCCUGUAUUAUUGAAUGAGGCUUGUUUUGCCUGCCAUGCAGUUUACCAGUCACUGAGGUGAUAAGUUUUGUAAAAGAGAAAUAGUUAUUCAUAAAGUGUCCGUAUUUGAGGAGGGACCCAAGUCUCAAAUCCACCUCCCUAAGGACAGGUUGUAGUAGUAUUUAUGUGAUAAAGGAGCAGAGUGGUCUAUGAUAUGGGGACUGGAGGUGUGGAAAGUGAAGUUACCAUUGGUCUGUGCACAUAUUCACACUUCAUGUGUCUUCAUAGGAUGCAUGUUCAGUGUUAGCAUGAUUUGAGAGUGGAGUUUUUAGCUGUCUGGCCUCAAAGUGUCACUCAUCAGAUAUCUGUGCAGGCACAAGUGAAGUGUUUGAUGUCAACUGACUUGAGCUAGACAAGGUUACCUCCAAAUUCCUGAAAAACAACUUAAACAAUUGCUACCAAGGUGACUAUAUAUAUCAAAGAUGUUAUUGAGAGCAAAGCUAAUAGAUGUGUACUUCUCAGCUAGGUGACCUUUAAAAUCAGUGAUAAAAGGAAGUAACUAAAAAAAAGUGAAGCUCCAGGGGUUUAUUUCAGUUUCCCCUCAGUUUCAUGUGACAAUCUGAAUUCCUAGCAAAAACUAUAAGACAUUAUGAAAUGUUUUAUAUCAACAUUUUUUUAGAUGAGCACCGUUAAUAGUUUUAGAAACAUGAUUUUAUCAUAUUACUAUUUUUUUAUUUUAUGAACACAGCCAAAUAUAUUUAGUUUCUUUCUACCAUAUGAAAAUGAGAUGCUAACACACACACACACACACACACACAUAUAUUAAACUUAUGUUCAGUAAUUAAUGCUUUGAUAUUUUUACUUAUUUAGCAAUGACUCAGACGUUUCAAGAAUAUCUAUUAUUUAAUCCAAUAUAACAUGACUUUAAGUUUCAUGCUACUGAAAAAGAUAUUUGAAACUAUGAAAGGUUCAUUUAUAAACUUUGAUCCCAUUUGCAGUCAACUAAUUUACUUAUUUUAUCCUUAACAUUUAUGCUGGAAUUACUCAUUAAGCAAAGCCAACCAUCAGAGGAGUUCAUAAAAUACCAUCUCUAAAUGUUACUUUUAUAUAUCACUUCCUUCCAGCUAAAGGAGCCUGAAAAAUGGCAAAAAAUGCACAACAAAGCUUUCUCUGAAUUCCAAUUCUGAAAAUCCUUCACAAGGAACUCAAUUGUCAUGAAUCCUCUCUUUGAGGAGUCUAUCAACCAGAGAUCAAUUUUUUCAUAGGAGAAUAGACCAGAAAUUAACCAUUGUAAACCUAGGCAAUGGCUGUUGCAUAGGCUGUGAGAAGAAUUCACCAAGACAAAGAGAAGCAGCUAAGAGAGUUUACGGAAGGGACAUAUGCUAUAAGGGUACAGCAGGGACAUGACAGAGAUGUCUGCCCCUGGACUCAAAGGAGAUCUGGACUUAUAUGCACUUUUUAGCUACUGGCAGUUUAUACUAAAUGAGGGAUAAUUGACAGAUUUCUGGGCCUUGCCCAUAAUGUUUAUUGCACAUGAACCAAAUGCUCAUUUCCAGGUCUUAAAUCAGAUGCAUAAGACAUGAGUAAUAUAGAUGAGGUAUUAAACAGGAACUUUCCCUUCUUUGGUUACUUUAGGUCAAACUUGGAGCCUCUGCACACUCUCCUCAGGAUGAGUGGGCAAUCUUUUGAAAAACAGGAUAUUGCUGUUUCCACUUCAGGAAAGUCAGCUCCUCCCACCACAACAGAGUGGGAAGAAAGGGAGGUCCUUAAGCUCUUGUCAGCUCUGCUAAUGGAGGUGGGAUGGGGGCCUGGCACAAGGGUCCCUAACCUAUCCUGCUUUACAUACCAAGACAGACUUGUCAUAACUGUUGUCUGUUCUUUCAAAAACCCAAAAAUUUUUCCUCAAAAUCGUUUAUUUGUAUGUUAUCUCUUUUCUUUGACCUCUAACCAUUUUACCCAUUCCAGCAGGGCAGGUUAAGUCAAAAUAUUAAUCACUAGGCAGGUAUUUUAAGGACAAUCACAGUGCUUGUGGAGAAAUCUGCUGUCCCUUGAAAUGCCUAUUAAUGCUCCUUCAAAUUUGAGUUUCUUGUUUGUUUCCAAGAAACUGAUAAGGAAACAACCAAAAUCAUUUUCUAAGUAACUGUUUUAGUCAGCUUUUUUGCUGCUGUGCCUGAAAGACCUGACAAGAACAAUUUGGAAGGAGGAAAAGUUUAUUUGGAGGAUCAUGGCUUCAGAGGUCCCAGUCCAUAGAAAGCCAGCUCCAUUCCUCAGUGCUCAAGGUGAGACUGAACAUCGUGGUGGAAGAGUGUGGUAGAGGAUAGUGGCUCAGAACAUUGCUAUCAGGAAGCAGAGAGGAACUCCACUUGUCAGAUACAAAAUAUACACCCCAAAGGCAUGCCCCCAAUGAUCCACCUCCUCCAGCCACACCCUACCAUCCUUCAGUUACCACUCAGUUAAUCACUGUAAGAGAAUUAAUUCACUGAUUGGGUUAAGCCUCUGCACAUUCUCCUCUGGAUGAUUGAGCAAUCUUUUGAGAAAGAAAAUAACUCAAUGAUUUCACCUCUAAACUUUCUAGCACUGUCUCACACAUGAAAUUUUGGAGGACAAAAUUUUGGAAAUUUUGGAGGACACCUAACAUCUAAACCAUAGCAGUAACCUGGAGUAAACUUCUUUCUUUAUAAUACUAAAUUGUCUGCCCAAAGGUGUUGCCCUCCUCCAUUUUCUGAACAUAUGAUGUAAGACCUUGAAAGUGAGAAUGCUUAGACAUGUGCCAGCCUCUACCUGUGAUUCCUGUAUGAAUAUGUGUAAGUACAGAGGACAGGUUGUGUCUUUUCUGUGUUACUCCAUUCCUGCCCUGACUAACUCCAUUUAUAAAGCAGCAGUUUCUCCUGAGCUUCUCCAUUUUGAGUGCAAUUGCUAAGGUAAAAUGAUUUAGUAAUUUGUCUGGGCAAGUAGAUAACCAGAUAUUGGACACAUGGAAUUUAUCAAAAAAGAAAAAAAAAAACCCAGCUACUCACACAAUCAUAAGACACAGACUGAUAAAUAACUUAUUUGUGCUAAUAAAAAAUUACCACUGCAAACAUCAAAUUAAAUCAGGAGAACAUAGACACAUGGGCAUAUCAAAUCAUAUCAGAAAAACCAGGCAUGCAAGUUUAUCAAACACAGCAAAUGUAACCUCCUCACCUAAGACCUAUAAAAGGAGAGGCAUCUCAAACAGCACAGGCAGCACCAAUCUGUCAUCUUAUCAGGGACUACCCAGUAUAUGCCUUACAGCUUCUUCCCAGAAGAUUGUCACAGUGACAAACUUCCACCUUUCCCUGGGCUUCAGCUUAACAUGUUUUUUCCUGCCUGUGGUAUUGUUCACUUUGAAACAGAAAUUCAGACCCUCACUUUGACAGCUCUGGGCCUGGAUAGUCUGCUCCUUGACAGCUUUGCUACUGGUUUCUUAACCCCUCAACUGAGACCACCUGUAGUGGCUCUUUGUAUUUUUAUAUUGGUUCUUUAAGUCUUGUGAUCGCCUUAACCCAUUCUCAGACUUUCUGUAACCUGAUAACCACCGCUUUAGUGUGAUGCAUGAUUUGAGCGUUAGCCAUACUAGUAAUUAUGAUAGGAAUGGAAUAAAAGAAAUUUAUGAUGGCCAUGUCAUGAUUACCAUGUGAAACUAGAUUUACUUAAUGAAAUAAAUGUGAUGAAACUGACAUAGCCUGUGAGCUUCUUUUCAAUAAAUUUUGACAUCAUGUAAAGACAAAAACAUGUCUAGUUUAUAUAAACGGCAGAGCUUUCUCAUUACAAUAAGUCCCCCCCCCCAAAAAAAAAAUAAACCUCUUGUUCAUUUUGGAAGGCACUGCUUUGAGAGUAUCUCCAGUUCUCUCCUUACUUGCUGCCAGAUAAUAAAUAUUUCUUUACUCUUUUAUCUCCUGGUGGGAUUAUCAGCUUUCUACUCACAAGUGGGUGAAUCUAUUGUGUUCAGUUACAAUAGGGAACUUUGCUUUUUUCUUGAUUGACCUGUUUGGUUAUUCUCCUAAGUAAUUGUUAGAUCAUGGCAAUCUUGCCUUCUGGAAUUAUUUUAUGUGUUGGGGAUUGAAGGCAAGACCUUAUAUAUAAUAAGCAUGCUCUACCAUGGGGCUAUAUCCCCAGCCCCUACCUUCUGGCUUUAAUUUUUUUUUUUUCAGAUUGAGAUAGAGUGAACUGAUUUGGGACUUUGUAAUAUUGAGGGACUGUCUGAAGAUUCCUCUGGCCCAUCUGACCCUUGGAAGAUGUACCCUUGGUUUUAACUUUUUUUAACCCCAGGUUUUCCAAUCCCAAAGAAAAAAACUUGGAGGAUUCAAUGGUGAGGUUUUGGACAUUUUUUUACUUAAUCACUCCUUGGUGGUAGCUGGCCAGGUUACAAUGGAGAGCUGCACUAUGCCUGCCUGCAGGGUGAAUACGUGGGACAGGUUACAUAUACACUGUGCAGGUGGCUUUCUUCAAAUGUUUUAUAAAUACGUUACUUUACUUUAUAAGCAAGAUACUUUCUCAAGGAUUGGAGAUAAGGGAAGUGGCCAGCUCCACUUCUCCAUUUCCCUUGUUACCACAAUCUCUAGAAAACUUCUUGACUCACCACAAGCUUUCCUAGGGACUGCUUAAUGUUAAUGCAACAUAACCCCAUCAAUGUUUUAUUCAUCCCAUUUUUUUUUUUAUUGUUGGUUGUUCAAAACAUUACAUAGUUCUUGAUAUAUCAUCUUUCACACUUUGCUUCAAGUGAGUUAUGAACUCCCAUUUUUAGCCCAUAUACAGAUUGCAGAAUCACAUCAAUUACACAUCCAUUGAUUUACAUAUUGCCAUACUAGUGUCUGUUGUGUUCUGCUGCCUUUCCUAUCCUCUACUAUCCCCCCUCCUCCCUCCCCUCCCCUCCCCACCCUUCUUCUCUCUCUACCCCCCCUAUUGACCUUCAUUUCUCCCCCUUGUAUUAUUUUUCCCUUUCCCCUCAUUCCCUCUUGUAUGUUCUUUUGUAUAACCCUGAGGGUCUCCUUCCAUUUCCAUGCAAUUUCCCUUUUCUCUCCCUUUCCCUCCCACCUCUCAUCUCUGUUUAAUGUUAAUCUUCUUCUCAUGCUCUUCGUCCCUACUCUGUUCUUAGUUACUCUCCUUAUAUCAAAGGAGACAUUUGGCAUUUGCUUUUUAGGGAUUGGCUAGCUUCACUUAGCAUAAUCUGCUCUAGUGCCAUCCAUUUCCCUGCAAAUUCUAUGAUUUUGUCAUUUUUUAAUGCAGAGUAAUACUCCAUUGUGUAUAAAUGCCACAAUUUUUUAAUCCAUUCGUCUAUUGAAGGGCAUCUGGGUUGGUUCCAAAGUCUUGCUAUUGUGAAUUGAGCUGCUAUGAACAUCGAUGUAGCAGUGUCCCUGUAGCAUGCUCUUUUUAGGUCUUUAGGGAAUAGACCAAGAAGGGGAAUAGCUGGGUCAAAUGGUGGCUCCAUUCCCAGCUUUCCAAGAAAUCUCCAUACUGCUUUCCAAAUUGGCUGCACCAAUUUGCAGUCCCACCAGCAAUGUACAAGUGAACCCUUUUCCCCACAUCCUCGCCAGCACUUGUUGUUGUUUGACUUCAUGAUGGCUGCCAAUCUUACUGGAGUGAGAUGGUAUCUUAGGGUGGUUUUGAUUUGCAUUUCUCUGACUGCUAGAGAUGGUGAGCAUUUUUUCAUGUACUUGUUGAUUGAUUGUAUGUCCUCCUCUGAGAAGUGUCUGUUCAGGUCCUUGGCCCAUUUGUUGAUUGGGUUGUUUGUUCUCUUAUUGUCUAAUUUUUGGAGUUCUUUGUAUACUCUGGAUAUUAGGGCUCUGUCUGAAGUGUGAGGAGUAAAGAUUUGUUCCCAGGAUGUAGGCUCUCUAUUUACCUCUCUUAUUGUUUCUUUAGCUGAGAAAAAACUUUUUAGUUUGAGUAAGUCCCAUUUGUUGAUUCUAGUUAUUAACUUUUGUGCUAUGGGUGUCCUAUUGAGGAAUUUGGAGCCCGACCCCACAGUAUGUAGAUCGUAGCCAACUUUUUCUUCUAUCAGACGGCGUGUCUCUGAUUUGAUAUCAAGCUCCUUGAUCCAUUUUGAAUUCACUUUUGUGCAUGGCGAGAGAAAGGGAUUCAGUUUCAUUUUGUUGCAUAUGGAUUUCCAGUUUUCCCAGCACCAUUUGUUGAAGAUGCUAUCCUUCCUCCAUUGCAUGCUUUUAGCCCCUUUAUCAAAUAUAAGGUAGUUGUAGUUUUGUGGAUUGGUUUCUGUGUCCUCUAUUCUGUACCAUUGGUCCACCCGCCUGUUUUGGUACCAGUACCAUGCUGUUUUUGUUACUAUUGCUCUGUAGUAUAGUUUGAAGUCUGGUAUCGCUAUACCGCCUGAUUCACACUUCCUGCUUAGCAUUGUUUUUGCUAUUCUGGGUCUUUUAUUUUUCCAUAUGAAUUUCAUGAUUGCUUUCUCUAUUUCUACAAGAAAUGCCGUUGGGAUUUUGAUUGGCAUUGCAUUAAACCUAUAGAGAACUUUUGGUAAUAUCGCCAUUUUGAUGAUGUUAGUUCUGCCUAUCCAUGAACAGGGUAUAUUUUUCCAUCUUCUAAGAUCUUCUUCUAUUUCUCUCUUUAGGGUUCUGUAGUUUUCAUUGUAUAAGUCUUUCACCUCUUUUGUUAGGUUGAUUCCCAAGUAUUUUAUUUUUUUUGAAGAUAUUUUGAAUGGAGUGGUUGUCCUCACUUCCAUUUCAGAGGAUUUGUCGCUGAUAUACAGGAAUGCCUUUGAUUUAUGCGUGUUGAUUUUAUAUCCUGCCACUUUGCUGAAUUCAUUUAUUAGCUCUAAUAGUUUCUUUGUAGAGCCUUUUGGGUCUGCUAGGUAUAGAAUCAUAUCAUCUGCAAAUAGUGAUAAUUUAAGUUCUUCUUUUCCUAUUUUUAUGCCUUUAAUUUCUUUCGUCUGUCUAAUUGCUGUGGCCAGUGUUUCGAGAACUAUGUUGAACAGAAGUGGUGAGAGAGGGCAUCCCUGUCUUGUUCCAGAUUUUAGAGGGAAUGCCUUCAAUUUUUCUCCAUUCAGAAUGAUGCUAGCCUGAGGCUUAGCAUAGAUUGCUUUUACAAUAUUGAGGUAUGUUCCUGUUAUCCCUAGUUUUUCUAGAGUUUUGAACAUAAAGGGAUGCUGUACUUUGUCGAAUGCUUUUUCCGCAUCUAUCGCGAUGAUCAUAUGGUUCUUAUUUUUAAGUCUAUUGAUGUGGUGAAUAACAUUUAUUGAUUUCCGUAUAUUGAACCAGCCUUGCAUCCCAGGGAUGAAUCCUACUUGAUCAUGGUGCACAAUUUUUUUGAUAUGUUUUUGUAUCCGAUUCGCCAGAAUUUUAUUGAGGAUUUUUGCAUCUAGGUUCAUUAGAGAUAUUGGUCUGUAGUUUUCUUUCUUUGAAGUGUCUUUGUCUGGUUUAGGUAUCAGGGUGAUGUUGGCCUCGUAGAAUGAAUUUGGAAGUUCUCCCUCUUUUUCUAUUUCCUGAAGUAGCUUGAAAAGUAUUGGUAUUAGUUCCUCUUUAAAGGUUUUGUAAAACUCUGCUGUAUACCCAUCCGGUCCUGGGCUUUUCUUAGUUGGUAGUCUUUUGAUGGUUUCUUCUAUUUCCUCAAUUGAUAUUGGUCUGUUUAGGUUGUCUAUAUCNGACAGGCAUGGUAUUAUCUCUACUCCUUUAUAUUGUCUAAGCGUUGCCCUGUGACAUAAUAUAUGAUCUAUUUUUGAGAAGGAUCCAUGUGCUGCUGAGAAAAAAGUGUAACUGCUUGAUGUUGGGUGGUAUAUUCUAUAUAUGUCAAUUAAGUCUAGGUUAUUAAUUGUGUUAUUGAGUUCUAUAGUUUCCUUAUUCAACUUUUGUUUGGAAGAUCUGUCCAGUGGUGAGAGAGGUGUGUUGAAGUCUCCCAUGAUUAUUGUAUGGUGGUCUAUUAGACUCUUGAACUUGAGAAGAGUUUGUUUGAUGAACAUAGCUGCGCCAUUGUUUGGGGCAUAUAUAUUUAUGAUUGUUAUGUCUUGUUGGUGUAUGGUUCCCUUAAGCAGUAUGUAGUGUCCCUCUUUAUCCCUUUUGAUUAACUUUGGCUUGAAAUCUAUUUUAUUUGAUAUGAGUAUGGACACUCCUGCUUUUUUCCGAAGUCCAUAUGAGUGAUAUGAUUUUUCCCAACCUUUCACCUUCAGCCUAUGUAUGUCUUUUCCUAUCAAAUGCGUCUCCUGUAGGCAGCAUAUUCAUCCCAUUUUUAAUACCAUUUAAAAAUUCUCUGUCUUAUAUUCACUUUUCUAAAUGGUUGACUAUUAGGUAAAAUAUGGUGGAAAUUUUGCAUUUCAAAGACAUAGAACUUAGAUUUUGGCCUUAAUACCACUAUUUGUUUAGAUUAAAAAAAAGGCAUAAGUAAGAAACCCAAUUAAGACAAAAUGUUCAAAUAUGAGACUUGUUUAGACUCAUGUUUUCUCCCAUUUGUAAGAAUUUCUGUUGAAUUUUCUUGAUAGAUAUAAUUUGUUUUUAUAAAUUAGUUUCAAAAUAAUGGAUUAAAUGCCAGAAAUGUAUAUUUUGGAGACAGACUUAGUUCAGUGGGCAGCCUUUUCAAUUUAACCUCUGUUUUUUAACUAAAUGACUAAAUUCAGUGUGUAACCCAUUUAUGAAUAGGGAAAAAAAGCAUUUUUAUGCCUGGACUUAACAUCGACAGCUCUGAACCAGGGUAUAAAGAUAAAGAAGUAGACCUAGUUGACUUGAGGGCUUAGCUUUAUGAACCUGUUAGCUUUCCCUUUGUCUUUGGAGUGGGAUAGUACUAAGUGAAAAGACUGGCAAUCAAUUUUUCUUAUCAAUUAGCCAUUUAAUCUUUUCAUGUGUCUUUUAGGAAGUAUCUUUUAAAAAAAGGCAAUGAUCUUUUAAAAAUCUUUUUAGAAACUUCUACACAGCAGUAGGUGUUCCUGGGUGCACCUAAUUUGGAAGGCCUCAUAUUUAAAUGCACUUCUUAGAUGAACAGUUUUGUUCAUCUGGAUCAUUCUACAUAAUGGUUAUUAUAAUUCUAAAUUAUCUUCAGUAAGAUUUCACCAUUUUUGUAAGUACUGCGUGGUUUCCAGGGCCUAAUGCUAAUACACAUGAAAGACAGGCACAGCUGGAAGUUGGAAUAUUCAGUCCUUCAAAAAUUAAGGAUUCCAUUUUUACAUUGAAUCUUGGACCUUUCAGAGCCACGAUAAAAAUCUAAGUGGGAAAUAUUAUGGGGUUGGACUGUAUAUGUUUUUGAUAGUGUUUCUUUCCUACACAGAAAUUUUUUGAGGGUAGUAGAUAACCUAGUGUCAAAACUGACCUUUCUGUGACCCAGCAUAUCUUAACAGAGGAGUCUUCAUUUUAGCAGUAUUUAGAUGUCUAAUCUGUGACUACUAAUCAAAUUGUAGCUUUGACUCUGAGACCACUUUACCCAACUUAUCUAAUGAUUUUAUCCUAACUGUGCAAGUAAAAAGAGAGAAGAAAACUCAAAUUCCUGAGAAAUUCUAAUAGCUAGAGUCACAUGCCUCCUGCAAGUAACAGCCUCUUACUAUAAAUUCUAUCCCUUAUCUUUAAAACUGCAGCUCUUGCCAGUGCUGAACAGUUUGAUGCAAACCUGAAAAGGUCAGAUGUUAUCUCACAGCAUAACAAAUUCUUGGUACUGUGACCAAACCCAAGUUCAUUUACUCAUGGCUUAAAAUGACCCAAUGAAUGGAGGCCACGUUGUUGUAACAAGGAAAAUGAUUUAGUUAGUAAGCCAGCGAAACCAGGGAGUUGGUGGACCUGAAAGACCACUUUAACUAAGCACGGUUUUAAGCUCCUUUUCUCAUUAGGCAAGGGGGAGACAGAGGGAAAUGUUAGGAAAUCAUUGAUAACUAAAGACUCCCAUGUACCUCUCUGGUGAUUGGGAAUGGUUAUAAAACCUGGUGGCUGGUGAUCUGUUGAUUUGACACACAGUCAUGAUGCCCUUUAUUAUAUCUUGAUAAUAAUCUUAGCUAUUCUUUAUUAUUACUAUCCUUGAAGUUGGGGGAGAGAGUGGGGAGUUUUCAGGUAAAUCAGUUUUCAAGAUGAUACUUUUGGGCAAAUUUUCCUUAAGUGAUUAACCAGGGUCACCUGCUCAGGGAGGUGUAGAUAUUUUCUAGUGAAGGAUAGAUGUGAGGUUAAAUACAACAAGGAGGAAGUGGGGCCAAGUUUUCUUUAAACCAUAAGCCUGGCUAUAAUUAUAACCUACACAUCAGAGAUAUUAUCUACAGCAGAGCUAGUGGGAUAUUAAUAAUAUAUUUCUCAGCUGUGUGACCUUCAAAAUUAGCGAUUUUUAAAAGUCAUCUAAAAGCAAUAAACUAAGAUCAAGUAAAGUUAAAGGGUUUACUUAGAUUUUCACUUGGUUUCAGUACCCCACCAUGCUAAGCUCUUUCCCAGCUUAGCAACUGAAUUCUGGAUUCAAAAUCCAAAAAUAUCAGAGGAACUCAAUUCUAAAAAGAACUGAGCCUAAUCCAAGAGAAACUAACUUACAACACUUGGGGCUCCAUGAUGAAGACAGAGGACCUCAAAAUGGUGAGUAGCACAUUGCUUGCAUUCCUAAAGGGGUCUCAGCAGUCUCUUUAGGUUCCUUCAUGGCCACCAAAAACCAUCAAAAGACAAGAUUACAAAUAAUUGAGUUUAAAUAUCUAGUUGGCUUUUAUUUGUGAUUAUAGAAUCAGGCAACACUUCAAUCUAUAAAAUAGAAUGAAUGUUCCAAUGAACAUUUGGAUGUUGGCUUUGUAGUCAGAAAAGGGCUAAAGAAAACAGAAAUUGGAAAUAAAAACAGGUUGAUCAUUUUAAAAUUACUUUUCACAUAGGAUUAAAAUAGAUUUCCUCUUAUUUCAGUCACUCAGGUUGACAGGAACCUCUUGUGUGUUUUUUGUUUGUUUGUUUUUUAUAACUGGCUUAUUCCUUUCAAAGUUCAGUUUCAUUAUGUGGUAUUUAGCACAAGUGACUUCCUUCUGAUUUGGUUGGUCUGUUGGGGCCUAGCAUAGCAGACUAUUGCAAAACAAUGGCCUCCCAUAAAAAAAAAAUUAACAAUUUUAUCAACUGCAGGCUCCCCAGUUAUCACCAACACUACCAACUGAUAAGAUAAAAUUGAGUUUAUUCUUCCUAAAGUAAGGGAGACCACACCUUGACCUCACCAAGACCCUUGGGGACAGUCUUGAAGGGAAAAAAGAAAAUUGAAAUUUAUUGAGAAUUUGAAGGUUGUUUUAAGAAGUCUUUCAAUGUGGAGAGGGGACUGAUGAUAAAAUUUAGUAUCUUUAUUUGUUUCUAUAUCCUGAAAACAAACAUGAUGUUUCUGCUAUAUGAGGGAAGAAUAAAACCCAUAGGUUUUUAGUUGGAAGAGACUAUUGAUACAAAAGACAGAUUUAUAAAAAAAAAAAAGUAGUUUAUUAACAUGUGUGUUACAUAUAUACAUGCAAAACACCAGGGAUGGCUUUGAAUGCCAGCUUAUAUAGCAUCUUCAACAAAUGACAAUAUAAUUUUAGAGGAGUGACCAGACAAAAGAAAAGGACUUGGGCUGGGGUUGUGGCUCAGUGGUAGAGUGCUUGCCUAGCAUGCAUGAGGCACUGGGUUUGAUCCUCAGCACCACAUAAAAAUGAAAUAAAGAUAUUGUGUCCACCUUAAAAAAAAGAAAGAAAGAAAGAAAAGGACUUUGGGUCUCUUGGGGGAAGGCAAAUAAAUGGCAGAAAGUGGCAAAAGUGUGACAGUGGUUACAACCUUUGUGGGUUGUCUUUUGCAUGCUUAUUCCUCCUCCCUUUGUCCUUUGGAAAUUUACUUUCUCCAGCAUUCUAAAUUCUAAAGAGAAGCCACACCUAAAUGACUCUGUUAGUCACCAAAAUAUCUGACAACUUAGAAGAGGAAAGAUUUGUUUUGGUUUUAUGGUUUCAGAGGUCUCAGUUCAUUGCUGGCCAACUCCAUUUUGAUGUGUGGCAGAACAUCAUGGCAGAAGGGUGUGGCAGAGGAAAGCUGCUCAGCUUAUGGCAACUGGGAAGCAGAGAAAGAGAGAGAAAGAGCCAGAGGCAGGGUAGAGAUUCCAAGACCACACCCUCAGAGACCUACUUCCUCCAGCCACACCUCACCCACCAACAGUUACCACCCAGUAGUUUAUUCAGCUAUCAAUGGGUUAAUUCAACAAAUGGGUUAAUCCACCAGAGAGGUCAGAGUCCUAGUUAUUGCUUAAAUGCCCCACCUCUGAAUCUUGUUGCAUGUGGGAUCACAACACAUGAACUUUUGGAGAGCAGUCCAGAUCUAAACCAUAGCAAUAAUUAAACUGUUAACUACUAAAUAAUAUUUCUUUAGGUUUAUAGAACCCAGAACCUCUGGAACCUUCAGACUGUUUCAGAACAUGUAAUGUCCCUCCUUAUUCUUCAGUUCUCUAUAUCAAUUAACAUAUAGCAUGUAAAUUGCUAUGAGGUUUAAUUUUCAAAAAAGUAAUAUAUCUAAAAAACUACAGGAACUAACCCCAGAAGACUGAGAUCCAUCAAAAUGUUCUAGUUAGGAAAAGAGGAGAGAAGGACGCUGUGGAUGAGGAAGGACCUACUAGCAUGUAGGCUUCCUCCCUAUUGUUACCUGUAUCUCUUUUCCCUCCAUUAAAAUCUCUUUCAUUUACCUGAGUUACCCAAGAUGGAGCUUUGAGGAUAAUGUCUUCUCCAACUUCUCAGGAUGCUGGCCCUUGCAUAAAACGGAUUUACUUCUCAUCAACUCUUUUCUUCCAAGUAUUGGUUUUAUUGGUGAGCAACAGGACCUGGGUCUGAUGACAAAAGUAAAGACUGUUACUGUAAAUUCCUCUGAUACAUUUUGAAAGUUGUCUUCAAUAGUCAACUUUUGGUGGAGGGCAAAGAAGGAUAGCUUUUGUCUUUGUAAAUCUUUCUUGCAUCUGCUGCUUUUUAAGCACUUUUACCUUAAUAAUUCCUCAUAUUUUGGGUGACAUAUUUAUGAUCUCUCAAACUGGAUCUAGAUAGUGAUAAAAAGGAAAUUUGGGGAUGUUUACACUACCAGGGCUGGAGGUUGGAAAGGGUAAAACAUAAAGGAAACUAAUUGAUUAACAAGUGUGGGAGAAAAUAAGACGAUUUCACAUCCUGAAUAUAUGCUGAAACUCUGACUUAAAUCACAACACUGCCAAUCCUAGGACCAUUGUUUGUAUAAAAUCUCUAUGUACUGUGAAUUCUAACUAGUCCAGAAGCAACAAUUACUUCUUAUGGACUGUGCUCCCAUCCCAAAGCUUUCCCCACUUCAUAUUAUCCCACCCAUCUUAUCUGUGGCACAUGUAGAUUCAAUGUGAACAGCCUGUGCUUUCAUUCUUCAAAUUUUUAUUAUAAAAAUACUCUGAGCUCUAGGUCAGUGGAUAUUUUUUUCAGCUGCUACCUAGGUUUGCUGCUGGUCAUUGCGGAACUGGUUCUUUUUCUGGUUAUCAUCUAUAGUAGUUCAAUGAACCCAUUUGUUUCAGGUUACUACUUAUUACAGUGAUAACUGCAUUAGUUCCAUACACCACAUUUUUUCACUUUUCUGGGAUGACAGAUAUAGAUGUGUAAACAAAGGUGACUUCUUGUAAAGGAACCCUAAAACUACGAAUCUAGCGUUUACAUAGGAUGAUUUUGCACAUCAUCCCUGUUCCCCUUCUGAAAGAGAGAAAGAAACCAAUACCCAGCUCUAAACAAAAUCUCCUUGGGAAAGAAGAAAAAGAUCACUUUAGAAUGUAAAUAAAUGUCUCUGGGGAGAGCUAAGGCAAACUUGGCAGGGUUUACAACCUUAGAAUGUCUCCAUGUCUGGGUUAUUCUCCUUUGAAUCUGUUUUUGGGUUUUCAUUUUUUUUUUCAAUUCUCCUUUGAAAUGUACACAGGGACCUCCAGGGAGGUACUUCCUAGAAGAUAAAUCUUUUUGGAGUUCACUGUGAUCCAAUUGUCCUUUAAUUUAGAAGAGUUGUUCUUUAACCCAGAUUUCAGUAAAAUUUGCUCAGCAAGUCCUAAUUAUGCAGGAAAGUGAAAAUGUUAACUUCCUGACACAGCCUUGAUUAAGACUGGAUAAGGAUCAUGAUCAGUAAUGGAAAUAAAUGAAGACCAACCAAUUGAGAACAUACACAAGCUAUUUAUUCAGAGCUCACUGUAGCAAAGGAAUUGGCCACUAUCACCUGUAUUUGGCACAGACUCAAAGGCAGGCAGAGGACUGGGAAAGUCUUGAGUGUGGAAAAAGAGAAUUCACAUAUGCCCUGGUUGGAGUCUGUUGGCAGGGAAAAAUUAUAGGAAGACUGCCCACACUUAGGGCAACCUAUGUGAUUGAUUAGUGGUACACAUUUAGCUUUUUCCAGUUGGUCCUAUAUUAGAAGCAAGGAAAGAAUUUAGGGAAAGUAGCAAGUAUUAAUCAAGUCAGGGUUGUUCGUGGCCAAUUUUGACAGCAUUAUUAUUUGGCUUCCCAGACGGUUUACUAGAGACAGGAGUCUGACUUCUUAUAAGUCUGACUUUUGACUGGUGAAAUGUAAUUCUAAGCUGGUUAAUGUCAUUAAUGGUUUGGUUUCCUCAGCUAGUUGCUACAAAUUGUGGGUCAGCAUUCUAUCUAUCUAUCUAUCUAUCUAUCUAUCUAUCUAUCUAUCUAUCUAUCUAUCUGUAUGUCUGUCUGUCUAUCUAUAUGGUAUGGCCACUGUUCAUUUGCAUAUUCAAUCCCUUAAAGAUUAAAUUUUGAGGAAAGGCAAAAUUUUUGAAGUAAGAAAGUCUUAGGAAAGAAGUUAUCAGUUGAUGCUUCCUAUUGAAGAAUAGACCCUCUUUGGGAACAUUUCUAUAGUGAACAAUUAAAUUAUUUGUUUGGAUAAGAAUAUUCUGGAACAGUGAAUUUGUGCGCAUGAGGAUAAUGGUAUAGUAGUCAUGUAAAUGAAGAAAUAGGUGGGGGAGAGUAGCAGAUAGAUGUGUAUUUCUGUAUUUAGUUGAAUGAUCUGAAGGGAAGGGAACCAAGAUUUGUUGAACAUGGCAAUUAUUACUCAAUUUUAUUCCCCUUUCCACUUUCCCUUGGCCAUGCAUGAUGUUAUGAAAAAGGUGGGAAUAUGAAAUGGAGAUUCAGAGUUUAAAUGACUUGUCCAAGGUCACAUUUAAAUUAUAGUAAAUUCAGAAUUCAAAUUCAGUUGUGGGACUCUCAAAUCUCACGCUCUUUCUAUAUUAUGCUAUUUCAAGGAAAGAGACGUCUCCAGAGAAGGGUCUGAGGAGUUCUCAAAGAGGCAAAAGAAUUCAACUCAUGACCAACAGGGAUUCUUGGCAUAUAUGACUGCUUUAGUCUGCUUUUUCAUCUCUGUGGCCAAAAGACCUGAAAAGAACAAUGUAGAAGAAGAAAAGUUUAUUUGGGGCUCACAGCUUCAGAGGUUCAGUCCAUGACUGGCUGGCUCCAUGGCUCUAGGCCUGAGGUGAGGCAGAACAUCACGGCAGAAGGGUGUGGUGCAGGAAAGCAGCCCAGGACAUGGCAACCAGGAAACAGAGAGAGCUUUGUCCACCAGGAACAAAAUAUAAUUCCCAAAGGCAUGCUCCUAUGACCUAUAUCCUCCAACUACAUCCUACCUGCUUGCAAUUACUACCUAGUUAAUCCAUAUCAGUGGAUUGAUUUACUGAUUAGGUUACAACUCUCAUAAUUUGAUUAUUUAACCUCUGAAUAUUCUUGCAUUGUCUUGCACAUAAGCUUUUGGAGGAUAUCUUAUAUCUAAACCAUAAUUGUGACAGAAAAGAAUUUCAUCAUGUGCCAGACAAAGGCAUAGACAGAGGUUUACUUAGGAAGUAGAUACAAUUCAAGGGAGAAUGCAGGCUGUCUCAACAGUGAGAAGCACCUCUUUGGGUUGGAGGGGUCCAAUGUUUAUACAGGGGCUGUAGUUAGGAGUUGGUGGAGGUGGAACUGCACAAAUUUUGUGCCAGUUUUCAUUGCACUUACACAUUUUUCUCAUUUUACAAGGGCACAAACCAAGGGCAUCUUGCUCAAGAUUUACAACUGUAUCUUCUGCAUCUCAGUAGCCUCUGGGCAUUUCCUUUGAGAGUCAGUCUCUCUCUCUCUCUCUCUCUCUCUCUCUCUCUCUCUCCUAAACAUCUAUCUCAACAUUGUCUUACAUAAAUUUAAAUAUUGCCCAAACCACCUAUUCACUGUCUUGCCAUGUGUCUAAUAGGUAUAUCCAUAUGUAUGGUUUGGAGAAGAAGAAAGAUAGUGGCAUGAUUCUGGAAGUACAGCAAAGUAAGUACUUUUUUUAAUGUAGUAUUUCUUUCUGGGUUUUUUGAGGAUUGAGUCCAGAUUUUGAGUUUGCAUUAGCCCUUUGUUUCAAUUUGUCUGGCUUGAUAAAAGCCCCUUUUAGUUACUGAAAUAUAACACAUUUUAAAAAAAAUGCAUGCUUUCUACUUUUUUCCCCUUAAAAGUGAUUGGCAAAAGUAGCUAGAUUUAACUUCAAAUAAUUAAAUGUAUGUGCUUCUUUGGUAUCAUUUCAGAUUUUGCAAAUGCUAUGCAGUUUUCAAGAAAGAAGGAAAUAAAACUUCUGGCUGUCCUUAGAUUUAUGGUCUUCACAGUUUGCAACCUCUGCUGCUGGCAAUUUUACUGAGCUGGCACACUCUCCAGAGGACAUCAUUUUAUCUUUUAAAAACAAUUACAAUCAUAAUUAGUAUUGUUAUGACUUUUUAGGCACGGCAGGGGAAUGCAGUGAUCUGGCCUGCAGUUUAUCAACAUGAAAAGCUGGGAAUUUAGCUAUGUUAAGAGGGGCUUCAUGGUGCCUUCCUCUGAACCAAGUUCUGCAACUAUGGGCAGACACACCCUCAGAAGGAUUUUGUAUUUGGUGGGAACUCUACUGGGGGAAUCUCCCACUAGACACCCCACAGUUGGUAAUUUUCUUCUCUUUUUCACUGAAAGAGGUUACCAACUAUAUCAGUACACGUAAACUCUGCUGUACAUUGGAAAUUCCUGGGGAGUUUUGGAAACUGUUGAUGCUCUGGCUGUACCUGGACCAAUUAAAUUAGAAGUUCUGGAGGUGGGACCAGGCAUUAGUAUUUUCUAAAACUCAUGUUAAAGAAAAAAAAAUCAAUGACACUUGGUAAAGCAAGUUAAGGAAGACUUUACUGAGGACCAUCACCAUAAGUAAAGGGACAACAGCAAUGAGAUUUUAGAUAGGGGAGAAAGAUUGGGCUCAACUCUGAAUACAGCAGGGGCAAGUGGGAAGAAGCAGAGUGGGGUUGUUACCAACCCGAAUAUUAGAUUCAUGUACACAGUGUGCAGCAACCAAUUAAUAAAUGAACACUGACACUUGAGGUAGAGAAAUUUUAACUGAGAAGGUACCAACUCAGAAGGUUGGUGAUAUGCCUCAAAUUUGCCUUAUCCCCCAAGCCUGAUCAUGAGUUAUAUAAGGGAAAAGGAGAAUCCAAAGGGAAACUGAUAGUUUUCCAAGUUUUGAUGAAAUCAAGGUUUUCAGAUUUCUUGGCACUUGGCAUACGAUUCUGCAGUUCUACAAAUCUUGUAAAUCACCAUUUGUAACAAAUAUAGCAAAGUUAUCAAUUGAUAAUUAUAGGAAUGGGAACAGGGACUCUGUUUAGCUGUCUAAACAGAAAAUAAAGAGUGUGUUUUGUUUUGUUU